rnacentral:rRNA from 1 species
GACGAACGUUGGCGGCGUGCUUAAUACAUGCAAGUCAACUGAAGCAGUGGUAGCAAUAUCGCUGUGGAGGUGGCGCACGGGUGAGUAACACGUAGGUAAUCUGCCUUCAGGUCUGGCAUAACUCCGGGAAACCGGGGCUAAUAGCAGAUGAUGCAGCGGCUCGACAUCGAGACAGUUGUUAAAGCUAUGUCGCCUGAAGAUGAGCCUGCGUCUGAUUAGCUAGUUGGCGGGGUAACGGCCCACCAAGGCAACGAUCAGUAGCUGGUCUGAGAGGAUGAUCAGCCACACUGGAACUGAGACACGGUCCAGACUACUACGGGAGGCAGCAGUAAGGAAUAUUGCUCAAUGGGAGAAAUCCUGAAGCAGCAACGCCGCGUGAGGGACGAAGGGCUUUUGCUUGUAAACCUCUGUAGUGAGAGAAAAAAAUCCCAAUCUUUGGGACAUGAUGGUAUCUCAAAAGUAAGCCCCGGCUAACUACGUG